rnacentral:rRNA from 1 species
GGGCCCGCACAAGCAGCGGAGCAUGUGGUUUAAUUCGAAGCAACGCGAAGAACCUUACCUAGACUUGACAUCCCCUGAAUUACUCGUAACGGAGGAAGUCCUUCGGGACAGGGAGACAGGUGGUGCAUGGUUGUCGUCAGCUCGUGUCGUGAGAUGUUAGGUUAAGUCCUGCAACGAGCGCAACCCUUAUCAUUAGUUGCUACCAUUAAGUUGAGCACUCUAGUGAGACUGCCGUGGUUAACGCGGAGGAAGGUGGGGAUGACGUCAAAUCAUCAUGCCCCUUAUGUCUAGGGCUACACACGUGCUACAAUGGUGAGUACAGAGAGAAGCAAUACCGUGAGGAGGAGCUAAACUCAAAAACUCAUCUCAGUUCGGAUUGUAGGCUGAAACCCGCCUACAUGAAGCUGGAGUUGCUAGUAAUCGCGAAUCAGCAUGUCGCGGUGAAUACGUUCCCGGGCCUU